UAAAUUUCAACAUGUGGCCAGGCAUGGUGGCUCACUCCUAUAAUCCCAGUACUUUGGGAGGCCAAGGUAGAAGGAUCACUUGAGCCUAGAAGUUCAAGGCUGCAGUGAGCUAUUGUAUCAAUGCACUGUAGCCUGGACUACAGAGUAAGACCCUGCUUCCAAAACAAUAAUAAUAAUCGUAAGUUUUGGCUGGGUGUGGAAAAAUUAGCCAGGCAUGAUGGUGCAUGCCUGUAGUCCUAGCUACUCAGGAGGCUGAGGCAGGAGAAUCGCUUGAACCCAGGAGAUGGAGGCUGCAGUGAGCUGAGAUUGCACCACUGCAUUCCAGCCUGGACAACAGAGUAAGACUCCGUCUCAAAAAAAAAAAAUCAUAAUUUUUAACAUGAGUUUUCGAAAGGACAUUCAAACCAUAGCAGAAGGUAUAAAAGGGGUUCUUGGUUUUUUGGGUUUUUUUGUUGUUGUUUUCAUUUAAUUCAAAAACCUGGAAAGUAGCCAGCAGUAGGUUCUGGUUUGGGGGGAAAGACAUGUAGAGUAUACAACCUUCUGGACACCAGUAUUAAUAGCUAGCUAAGAUUUCAUUAUUGACUGUCCUUUGCCUUAAGAGCUGGCUAUGCACUGAGUAAUUUUAAAGCAUACAAGAUCAGCAGACAAACAGAUCAGUUCCCUAGAGUCCUGGUUUUUUCUCUUUAUUCACCUGGGUUAGUGGCUCAGCCUGUACUUAGGUUGAUAACUAACAAUCUGUUCUCUCACUUGGAAUUUGGCAUCCUUUUGCUCUCUUGAAAACAAAACAUGAUUAAGUACAAUGUAGGAUCUGGAGGAGAACAGAGAACAUACUAAGGGUGUAGUCAAGUCCUAAAAAAGGAUGAGCUUUGAUUAAAGAUUCUUGGCCAGGCAUAGUGGCUCAUGCCUAUAAUCCCAGCACUUUGGGAGGAUGAGGCGGGUGGAUCAUCCGAGGUCAGGAGUUCAAGAUCAGCCUGACCAACAUGGAGAAACCCCAUCUCAACUAAAAAUACAAAAAAAAAUUAGCCGGGCAUGGUGGCGCAUGCCUGUAAUCCCAGCUACUUGGGAGGCUCAGGCAGGAAAAUCACUUGAACCCGGGAGGCGGAGGUUGUGGUGAGCCGAGAUCGCGCCAUUGCACUCUGUCCCAGGCAUAAAAAGAUACUCAUCUCAGUUUUGUGACUUGUUUGGUGACUAAAUCCACUUCCCCUCUGUCUCUACUUUCCCAUCCACCAAAUGAAAGUUAGGAAGAAUGCCAACUUAGGAAGAGCUUGGCAAGUGCAGUACUUUAAAAAUAAUGAAAUUAUCAUGGCCUUUGGAUUAACGUAUUUGGUUUUGUUUUGUUUUUAUUUUCUAGUUAUUAAAGAGGGUGUACGGGAGUUUCUUGGUAAAUCCAGAAUCAGGAUACAAUGUCUCUUUGCUAUAUGACCUUGAAAAUCUUCCGGCAUCCAAGGAUUCCAUUGUGCAUCAAGCUGGCAUGUUGAAGCGAAAUUGUUUUGCCUCUGUCUUUGAAAAAUACUUCCAAUUCCAAGAAGAGGGCAAGGAAGGAGAGAACAGGGCAGUUAUCCAUUAUAGGGAUGAUGAGACCAUGUAUGUUGAGUCUAAAAAGGACAGAGUCACAGUAGUCUUCAGCACAGUGUUUAAGGAUGACGACGAUGUGGUCAUUGGAAAGGUGUUCAUGCAGGAGUUCAAAGAAGGACGCAGAGCCAGCCACACAGCCCCACAGGUCCUCUUUAGCCACAGGGAACCUCCUCUGGAGCUGAAAGACACGGACGCCGCCGUGGGUGACAACAUUGGCUACAUUACCUUUGUGCUGUUCCCUCGUCACACCAAUGCCAGUGCUCGAGACAACACCAUCAACCUGAUCCACACGUUCCGGGACUACCUGCACUACCACAUCAAGUGCUCUAAGGCCUAUAUUCACACACGUAUGCGGGCGAAAACGUCUGACUUCCUCAAGGUGCUGAACCGCGCACGCCCAGAUGCCGAGAAAAAAGAAAUGAAAACAAUCACGGGGAAGACGUUUUCAUCCCGCUAAUCUUGGGAAUAAGAGGAGGAAGCGGCUGGCAACUGAAGGCUGGAACACUUGCUACUGGAUAAUCGUAGCUUUUAAUGUUGCACCUCUUCAGGUUCUUAAGGGAUUCUCCGUUUUGGUUCCAUUUUGUACACGUUUGGAAAAUAAUCUGCAGAAACGAGCUGUGCUUGCAAAGACUUCAUAGUUCCCAAGAAUU
rnacentral:sRNA from 1 species